CUUGCACGCUGGCGGCCGGCUUAACACAUGCAAGUCGAGCGAGCGGCGGACGGGGGAGUAAUGUCUGGGAAACUGCCUGAAGGUGGGGGAUAAAUACUGGAAACGGUAGCUAAUACCGCAUACCAUCAGAUUUUCGCAGAUGGGAUUAGCUAGUAGGGAGGGUAAUGGCUCACCUAGGCGACGAUCCCUAGCUGGUAUGAGAGGUUGACCAGCCACAAUGGAACUGAGACACGGUCCAGACUCCUACGGGAGGCAGCAGUAGGGAAUAUUGGACAAUGGGCGCAAGCCUGAUACAGCCAUGCCGCGUGUGUGAAGAAGGCCUUCGGGUUGUAAAGCACUUUCAGCGGGGAGGCGUUACUCGCAGAAGAAGCACCGGCUAACUCCGUGCCAGCAGCCGCGGUAAUAC
rnacentral:rRNA from 1 species